rnacentral:rRNA from 1 species
GAUGAACGCUGGCGGUGUGCCUAAUACAUGCAAGUCGAGCGAACAGACGAGGAGCUUACUCCUCUGACGUUAGCGACGGACGGGUGAGUAACACGUGGAUAACCUACCUAUAAGACUGGGAUAACUUCGGGAAACCGGAGCUAAUACCGGAUAACAUGUUGAACCGCAUGGUUCAACAGUGAAAGACGGUCUUGCUGUCACUUAUAGAUGGAUCCGCGUCGCAUUAGCUAGUUGGUAAGGUAACGGCUUACCAAGGCAACGAUGCGUAGCCGACCUGAGAGGGUGAUCGGCCACACUGGAACUGAGACACGGUCCAGACUCCUACGGGAGGCAGCAGUAGGGAAUCUUCCGCAAUGGGCGAAAGCCUGACGGAGCAACGCCGCGUGAGUGAAGAAGGUCUUCGGAUCGUAAAACUCUGUUAUUAGGGAAGAACAAAUGUGUAAGUAACUAUGCACGUCUUGACGGUACCUAAUCAGAAAGCCACGGCUAACUACGUG